UACGAGAGGCCCAAACGUUAUUCGGAUUUACUGGGCUUAAAGAGUUCGUAGGCGGCUUGGAAAGUGGGGUGUGAAAGCCCUCGGCUUAACCGAGGAAUUGCGCUCCAAACUACCGAGCUUGAGUAGGCUAGAGGUGAGCAGAACUGAUGGUGGAGCGGUGAAAUGCGUUGAUAUCAUCAGGAAUACCGGAGGCGAAGGCGGCUCACUGGUCCAUUACUGACGCUGAGGCGCGAAAGCGUGGGGGAGCAAACAGG
rnacentral:rRNA from 1 species